CCAUAUUCACAAAUCAAUAUUCACAAAUCAUCUCACCAUUUUCACAAAUCAAUGUUCACAAAUCAAUGCAUACACCCCUAAAUUCAUAUAUUCUGUAUUUCUGUAUCUAUCUAUCAUUAUCAAGCCCGCCUAAAUAAUUGAUAGAAAUUUUCGCGCUUCGAAAUUCACGGCACCGAUUUUAUUACUGUAUCCAACAUCAAAACACCGAUUUUGCUGUCAUUGUCAAAACACCGAUUUUUAGUACAUUUCGAACUGAAUAGGUCUGAUGUUCAUGUUAGUCCUGAUGCCGAUAACCAACCAAAAUCACCUAUUUUUGGGGUGAGUUUAGUGCACUAGGAUAACAAAGGAAAUGUGGAUGGAUUCCUGUAUGAGUGAAAUCCCAGAACGAAUUUCCAUAGGAUGAAAAUGUGGUCGCUUCUGGUGUAGAGAAUCCAGUAUCUUUAGUUGAAAAAGAAGUGUCUCCUAUUCUUGAUGAAAAAGCUGUAUGUGUGAUGGAUGUUCACUGUGCAACACCGGUUGAAAGCUGCAGUGCAAGCCAGAUUGAACAAAAACCCGUGAGUAAUAAUGCCAAUCAAGAAACAGGGAAUAGUUCUCAGUUAGAUAGUUUACGGGGCCAGGAGGAGUCAAUUAUAAUUAUAAAAGGGUGGAGAUGAGGUUUUCCUUAAAAGUAUUCUAACCCAACGGAGAUUGUAGCAAAAGAAUGGGUGGUAAAGAGAUUGGAAAGAGAUGGUGUGGGGUAAAUGCUCAAGUACCAAUAAAAAGAGAUGAAAUGUUGGUGAGACCAUAUGGAUUAUCUUCUACAAUUGCAGAUUGUAUUGGUGCAAUGAUCGCAUGGCCUUGUCCUUUCAUCUCGGUGGUCUGUGAGGAUUGAGGAAACAUGAUAACAUGGGAUUCUGUGCUAGCUUCGUGUUUCUUUCAUUCCUUUUAAUUUCUUUUGUUAGAUUUUACAAGACUUUAUAUUGAAUAAUGUUAUAGCUUUUUUAUGUUUAAUGGGUUUGUAAUGAUCAUGCGUAUUUGAAAUAUAAUAAAAUUUUAUUUCUUCAGGUUA